rnacentral:rRNA from 1 species
GACGUAGGGUCCAAGCGUUGUCCGGAUUUACUGGGCGUAAAGAGCGUGUAGGCGGUCAGGUAGGUCCGUUGUGAAAACUCGAGGCUCAACCUCGAGACGCCGAUGGAAACCAUCUGACUAGAGUCCGGAAGAGGAGAGUGGAAUUCCUGGUGUAGCGGUGAAAUGCGCAGAUAUCAGGAAGAACACCCGUGGCUAAGGCGGCUCUCUAGUACGGUACUGACGCUGAGACGCGAAAGCGUGGGGAGCGAACAGG